AGAACGAACGCUGGCGGCAGGCUUAACACAUGCAAGUCGAACGCUCCGCAAGGAGAGUGGCAGACGGGUGAGUAACGCGUGGGUAUCUACCCAUCUCUACGGAAUAGCUCCGGGAAACUGGAAUUAAUACCGUAUACGUCCUUAGGGAGAAAGAUUUAUCGGAGAUGGAUGAGCCCGCGUUGGAUUAGCUAGUUGGUGGGGUAAAGGCCUACCAAGGCGACGAUCCAUAGCUGGUCUGAGAGGAUGACCAGCCACAUUGGGACUGAGACACGGCCCAAACUCCUACGGGAGGCAGCAGUGGGGAAUAUUGGACAAUGGGCGCAAGCCUGAUCCAGCCAUGCCGCGUGAGUGAUGAAGGCCCUAGGGUUGUAAACCUCUUUCAGCAGGGGAGAAGCCUUUCGGGGUGACGGUACCUGCAGAGAAGCACCGGCUAACUACGCGCCAGCAGCCGC
rnacentral:rRNA from 1 species